UCAAAGUAUAGUGCCAAAUGUC
rnacentral:siRNA from 1 species